rnacentral:rRNA from 1 species
GUAAAAGUCGUAACAAGGUUUCCGUAGGUGAACCUGCGGAAGGAUCAUUAUUGAAAAUAAACCUGAUGGGUUGUUGCUGGCUCUCUAGGGAGCAUGUGCACACCUUGUCAUCUUUAUAUCUCCACCUGUGCACCUUUUGUAGACAUCUUUUCCUAGAUGUCUAUGUUGAUUCUUCAUUUACCCCCAAUGUAUGUCAAUAGAAUGUUGUGAUAAAAAUCUAUACAACUUUCAGCAACGGAUCUCUUGGCUCUCGCAUCGAUGAAGAACGCAGCGAAAUGCGAUAAGUAAUGUGAAUUGCAGAAUUCAGUGAAUCAUCGAAUCUUUGAACGCACCUUGCGCUCCUUGGUAUUCCGAGGAGCAUGCCUGUUUGAGUGUCAUUAAUAUUAUAUAUCAAACCCUCUUUUUCUGGAGUGGUUUGGAUGUGGGGGGUUGCUGGCCUCUUGAAAGGGGUCAGCUCUCCUGAAAUGCAUUAGCGGAACAACCUGUUCGUUCAUUGGUGUGAUAACUAUCUACGCUAUUGAAUGGUGAAAGGCAGUUCAGCUUCCUAACUGUCUUUUGGACAAUUUAACAAUCUAUAUGUGACCUCAAAUCAGGUAGGACUACCCGCUGAACUUAAG